rnacentral:tRNA from 1 species
UCCCUAGUAGUCUAGUGGUUAGGACUCAGCCCUUUCACUGCUGUAGCCCAGGUUCAAUCCCUAGUCUGGGAA